UACAGAGGUCUCAAGCGUUGUUCGGAUUCAUUGGGCGUAAAGGGUGCGUAGGCGGCGCGGUAAGUCGGGUGUGAAAUCUCGGGGCUUAACUCCGAAACUGCAUUCGAUACUGCCGUGCUUGAGGACUGGAGAGGAGACUGGAAUUUACGGUGUAGCGGUGAAAUGCGUAGAUAUCAUAAGGAAGACCAGUGGCGAAGGCGGGUCUCUGGACAGUUCCUGACGCUGAGGCACGAAGGUCAGGGGAGCAAACGGG
rnacentral:rRNA from 1 species